rnacentral:rRNA from 1 species
GUUGAGUGGCGGACGGGUGAGUAACACGGUGGGUAACCUGCCUAAAAGAAGGGGAUAACACCUUGGGAAACAGGUGCUAAUACCGUAUAUCUCUAAGGAUCGCAUGAUCCUUAGAUGAAAGAUGGUUCUGCUAUCGCUUUUAGAUGGACCCGCGGCGUAUUAACUAGUUGGUGGGGUAACGGCCUACCAAGGUGAUGAUACGUAGCCGAACUGAGAGGUUGAUCGGCCACAUUGGGACUGAGACACGGCCCAAACUCCUACGGGAGGCAGCAGUAGGGAAUCUUCCACAAUGGACGCAAGUCUGAUGGAGCAACGCCGCGUGAGUGAAGAAGGUCUUCGGAUCGUAAAACUCUGUUGUUAGAGAAGAACACGAGUGAGAGUAACUGUUCAUUCGAUGACGGUAUCUAACCAGCAAGUCACGGCUAACUACGUGCCAGCAGCCGCGGUAAUACGUAGGUGGCAAGCGUUGUCCGGAUUUAUUGGGCGUAAAGGGAACGCAGGCGGUCUUUUAAGUCUGAUGUGAAAGCCUUCGGCUUAACCGGAGUAGUGCAUUGGAAACUGGAAGACUUGAGUGCAGAAUAGGAGAGUGGAACUCCGUGUGUAGCGGUGAAAUGC